rnacentral:lncRNA from 1 species
GUUCGGGCAAAUCCCAAGUACGAUCCGGAAGCCCAGCACCUGUUUUUGACACCCAACUUAGUACACCAAUUUCACAUAAUCAGGCUCAUAAGCGACGCCGCACCUACGCACAAACUCAAACCCCGCCGCGGGUUACAUCUCUCCCUACACCCACCAAACUGCAGCGGCGCUGCUUAAUAAUUUCAUAACUUUAAAAUUAUGACAGCAGUGGUAACAAACAAAAACUCCAGAGGCAUCUACAUAAAAUUCCCCACAAGUUUUGUAUACAAUUUAUAAUUAAAUUACAAUAUCUAAUUAGCCCAAAACAGUCCACAAGAUGAACCCUGUAAUCUGUUUUUUCUUUGUCUUUUGGACAGCGACAUACCCAGAUUCAAACAGCGAUAUCUUUUAAAAUAUAAUUCCAAAUCAAGCGCAUAAGUACUCAUUGGAAAGAUAAGACAAAUCCCUACAUGAUUACCAUACUGGUUAACACUAAUUACCCACGAAAAAUUCCCAGAAACUGCUAAUACCACUGCUGUUCACCCACCUGAAAAAUCUGUUUUUUUGGACAGCAACAUAACCGGAUUCAAACAACGAUAUCUCCUGAAUUAUAACUCCGAAUCGAGCACAUAAGUACUUGUUGGAAAGAUAACAUAAAGCCCUACAUGAUUCUCAUACUGAUUAACACUAAUUACUCCCGAAAAAUCCCCAGAAACUGCUAAUACUGCUGCUGUUCAUCCCCCUGAAAAAUCUGUUUUUUUUGGACAGCCACACCCGGAUUCAAACGGUGAUAACUUUCAAUUUAUAACUCCAAAUUGAGCGCAUAAAUACUCGUUGGAAAGGUAAGGUAAAGUUCUACAUGAUCCCCAAACUGAUUUCCCUUAAUUCCUCACGAAAAAAACACAGAAACUGCUAGACUACUGCUGUUCACCCACCACCUAAAAUUCUGGACAGCCCCCUCUAUCCCAAUCGCAAACGCAACCUCUAAUCAAUUAAAUUGCAGCACAAAUGAACAAGGGAUGAACACAAAAACCACCUUGGAUUCUCCCCCUUUCCUUCUUCCCUUCUUGCCUCCACCAAAACGAUUGAAGACUCGCACCACAACGACGAUGAUCCGAGCGGCAAGGAUUAGCACCUUGGGAGGAGGGGAUUGAGAGGGGGGGGGGGGCGGCUAGGGUUUGGUGGCUGCAAGAAUUGAGAGAGGAGGAGAUGGGCAGGGGGGCGGCGGCCAAGGGGGAAGAGAAG